GAUAGUCCCGUAUACGAAAUAAUCACAGUGGAACUAAGCAUACGAACAAGUAGGACGGGGCACGUGGAACCUUGUCUGAAUAUGGGGGGACCAUCCUCCAAGGCUAAAUACUCCUGAAUGACCGAUAGUGAACUAGUACCGUGAGGGAAAGGUGAAAAGAACCCUUAUAAAGGGAGUGAAAUAGAAUCUGAAACCGCUUGCAUACAAGCAGUAGGAGCAUGAUUUAGUCAUGUGACUGCGUACCUUUUGUAUAAUGGGUCAGCGAGUUAUUUUUAGUGGCGAGGAUAACUGAAUAAGGGAUCCGUAGCGAAAGCGAGUUUUAAUAGGGCGACUAGUCGCUAGGAGUAGACCCGAAACCGGCGCGAUCUAUCCAUGGCCAGGUUGAAGAUUAGGUAGUACUAAUUGGAGGACCGAACCCAAUACUGUUGCAAAAGUAUGGGAUGAGCUGUGGAUCGGAGUGAAAGGCUAAUCAAGCACGGAGAUAGCUGGUUCUCCCCGAAAACUAUUUAGGUAGUGCCUCGUGUAUAACUCAUUGGGG
rnacentral:rRNA from 1 species